GCUGCUGUUAAGCAAAGGUCAAAUCUCUUUAUUGCCUCCCUCCCACCCCAGUUCCCUGUCCCCCAACAGUACUGCUAGGAACCUUCCUCAGAUUCCAAGCCCAGGGGCUCCCUGCGAGUACCAGACCGGUAUGCUCCCUGGCCCCGAGGUAGAUGGGGAUAGGAAGAACCAGCUAGGGAGGAGGGGGUGAGAGAGUAAAGCAGUAGAGGAAUGCACAUUGGGCUUGUUUCUCUGGGCUGGGGGAGGAAGGCUUAAAGGAAUAGUAGAUAAACUUUACCUCUGAGGCAAGGCUCAGAGUACCCUAAGUCCAGAUUCUGUGU
rnacentral:lncRNA from 1 species